GUACGCAGCGCGUACCUCGGAUGAGGACGCUGACUCCUCUUCGGAUAAGGUCCGAAUUUUGAAUUAAAUAAAUAUAUAAUUUAUUUAAUAAACUUCAAAAAUUCAUAUCUUCUUCAUACGAACUCCGUUUUCGAUGGUCUUUAUAUCCACGCGUAGGUGAGACUACGCUCUACAACUUUCGUUUAGACUCCGUCGGCAAAUUCCGAAAUUAUUUUUUUAUUAUUUAUUUUAAACUCAUCGUGUUUAAGGAAUUUCUUUGAAAAUUCAUAACUUCUUUAUCUGAUGUCGGUUUUUGCCAGACUUUUUACCGCUGGAAUACCAUUGUCGAGACCUUCGAUUCUCGUUUAGGUCAUUCCGGCCAAAAGUCGCUCGAUCUCCGAUUCGAGUUUUUAGCUGUCUGUUGCUAAGCCGAACUUGGAAAAAUCAUAACUUCGCUAUAUGAAGUCGGAUUUGGGCGUUCUUUUCACGUACGAUCAUGGUUCAAAGACAUUUAAACAUAGAAGGAAAUUAAAUAGAACUAUUUGUACAUUUUAUUAUGAAAGUAAAUUUUAUUACUCAAAAGUGGUUACAAUACUUGACCCUUUUUGGUCAUUACAAAGAGUUGAAAUAUCGGGUUGUCACAUCAUCCCCCCGUUAGAGAGAAUUUCGUCCCGAAAUUUAAAGUAGUAAAGAUACUAGUGAACAUGAAAGAGAUGAGGGUACUUUUGUUUCAUCUGAUCUUCGCGUUCCCAUGUGAAUUCAGGUCCCCGCUUGGCGUUCCAGCGAACCUUCACGAUGGGUAUGCGACUUUGUUUUGUUUGUUUGACCUCUCGGUCCAUGAUUUCUACUGGUUCUUCCACAAAGUUGAGGCUCUCGUUGAUCUCGAUCUCGUCGAGUGGAAUAACAAGAGUCUCGUCGGACAGACACUUUUUCAAGUUUGAGACGUGGAAGGUUGGAUGGAUGUUACUAAGUUCGCGCGGUAGGUUAAGCUUGUAAGCCACAGGGCCGAUUCUGGCAAGAAUCUCGAAAGGCCCUAUGUAUCUUGGAUUUAGUUUCCCACGCUUUCCAAAUCGUAUUAAACCCUUCCACGGUGAGACCUUUAAUAAGACGUGGUCUCCUACCUGGAAUUCCAAAGGUUUCCUCCUUUGGUCAGCGUAGCUUUUCUGUCGGUCUCUUGAGGCUUUCAAUCGUUCACGAAUCUGAACGAUCUUCUCUGUCGUUUCACGUAUGAUCUCCGGACCGGUGAGAGUGCUUUCAGGAACUCUUCCUCUAGCUAACUGGGUAUCGCCAACUUCAGUCCAGCACAGAGGGGAUCUGCACUUUCGACCAUAGAGGGCUUCAAACGGAGCAGCCUUUAUGCUUGUAUGAUAACUAUUGUUGUAUGAAAAUUCGACAAGGGGUAAAUGAAUAUCCCAUGCCUUUCCAAAGUCAAUCACGCAGGCUCUCAGCAUGUCUUCUAAAGUUUGUAUUGUUCUCUCACUUUGUCCGUCUGUCUGUGGGUGGUAGGCUGUACUCAUGUCUAGCCUAGUUCCCAGGGAACUUUGUAGUGACUGCCAGAAUCUUGAAGUGAAUCUACUAUCUCGAUCGGAGAUAAUGGAUAUCGGAACACCAUGCAGUCGCACUACUUCCCUUAAGUAAGUUCUUGUAAGCUUCUCCAUUUUGUCAGUCUCCUUGAUGGGUAGGAAAUGUGCGGAUUUGGUCAAUCUGUCGACAAUGACCCAUAUGGUAUCGAGUCCACUUGUCGUCUUGGGUAACUUGGUUAUGAAGUCCAUAGUAAUCCGCUCCCAUUUCCAUUCCGGUAUCUCUGGUUGUUGUAGUAGUCCUGACGGUUUCUGAUACUCGACCUUAACCUUAGCGCAAGUAAGACAUUUACUCACGAAGGUAGCAAUUUCUGCUUUCAUGUUAGGCCACCAGUACAGUUUCUUAAGAUCCAGAUACAUUUUAUCUGAACCCGGGUGAACGGAAUAUCUUGAGUUGUGAGCCUCGGUCAUGACUACGUUUCUGAAACCACCAUGUUUUGGGGUCCAGAUUCGGUCCAUGAGAUAGUAGGCUCCGCCACCCUUGACUUCUAAAUUCUUCUCCAUUCCUCGCAGGGAUUCACCCGCCACAUUUUCAGGUUGCAAAGCUUCCAUUUGUGCUUCCUUAAUUUGUGUGGAUAAGUGGGAAUGGAUAGUCAUGGUCAGAGAUUUGACCCUCCGACCAGUGUAUUCCUUUCGACUGAGGGCGUCGGCUACUACGUUGGCCUUGCCAGGAUGAUAACGAAUUUCGCAUUCGUAGUCAUUCAGUAACUCAACCCAUCGUCGUUGUCGCAUGUUGAGUUCCUUCUGAUCGAAAAUGUGUUGAAGGCUCUUGUGAUCGGUGAAUAUAGUACUCUUUGUUCCGUAUAAGUAGUGCCUCCAGAUCUUCAGAGCAAAUACCACUGCUCCUAACUCGAGGUCGUGUGUCGUAUAGUUCACUUCGUGUGUCUUAAGCUGUCGGGAGGCAUAAGCGAUAACCUUCCCUCUCUGCAUAAGAACACAACCAAGUCCUUGAUUUGAAGCAUCGCAAUACACUACGAAGUCUUCUAUCCCUUCGGGGAGGGAUAGUAUCGGUGCGGUGCACAAGGCCUGCUUUAGUGUCUGGAAUGCCUUCUCUUGUUUCGCUUCCCAGUCAAAGGCCACACCUUUCUGGGUUAAUGAAGUAAGAGGUUUCGCAAUGCUCGAAAAGUUCUUUAUGAAUCUGCGAUAGUAGCCAGCUAGACCUAGAAAUUGACGAAUUUCUGUAGGUGUCUUUGGUGCCGACCAGUUCUCAAUAGCCUUAAUUUUGGAGGGGUCCACGUGUAUACCUUUCUCGCUAACAACGUGACCUAAAAAUUCGACUCUUCGAAUCCAAAAUUCGCAUUUAGAGAACUUCGCAUAGAGUUUCUCCGUUCGCAGUGUUUCUAGGACUUUUCGUAGGUGUUGACUAUGCUCUUCCUCACUUCGAGAGUAGAUAAGUAUAUCAUCGAUAAAGACGAUGACGAACUGAUCCAAGUAAGGGCGGCAUACCCUAUUCAUUAGGUCCAUAAAUACUGCUGGUGCAUUGGUUAAUCCGAACGGCAUCACCACGAAUUCGUAGUGUCCAUAACGAGUUCGGAAGGCUGUCUUUGGAAUGUCCCCCUCUAGAACUCGUAAUUGGUGAUAUCCGGAUCGCAGGUCUAUUUUGGAGAAGUAGUUCGCCCCUUGAAGUUGAUCGAAUAGGUCGUCGAUACGGGGUAGAGGAUAGCGGUUCUUGACAGUAAGUUUGUUCAGCUCUCUGUAGUCGAUGCACAUACGGAACGAUCCGUCUUUCUUCUUUACAAACAAGACCGGUGCUCCCCAAGGUGAGAAACUUGGUCUUAUGAAUCCUUUGUGAAGGAGUUCAUUAAGUUGACUGGAAAGUUCCUGCAUCUCUGCUGGUGCAAGACGAUAAGGCGACUUCGCUACUGGGGUAGCUCCUGGAAUUAAGUCGAUUCUGAACUCGACUUGGCGUUGCGGUGGUAAUCCUGGUAGUUCUUCUGGAAAGAUAUCGGGAAAGUCGCGUACUACCGAGAUGCUCUUGAUGUCCUUCAGUUCUUGACUUGUAUCGACGAUGUGCGCUAGGAAUGCUCGACAAUCCUUCCGCAAGCACUUUCGAGCUUGGAUGCACGAAAUGAUGCGAAGGUUUGCACUAGAUUUGUCGCCGUAGAUAACUAAUGUUUCGUUGUUAGGGAGGUUAAGACGGACUGCUUUCUCAAAGCACAUGAUGUCGGCGCGAAGAAGACUCAACCAAUCCAUGCCGACUAUGACGUCGAAACUUUUAAUUUGAACCGGCAUGAGAUUGAUUGGGAAAGAAUGGCCGUCUAAUGUUAACGUACAGCCCAUGUAUAUGCAAUUUGUGUUUUCGGUUUUUCCAUUGGCCAUCUCUACAGUGAAUGAUUUUUCUAACUUGCUAGGUUUAGGUUUAAGUAAAUGAAUAAAGUUUUGACUCACGAAGCUUCUCUCCGCUCCACUAUCGAAUAAUAUGCAUGCGUAUGAAUUAUCGAGAAGGAACGUACCAGCAACUAUAGUUGGGUCAGCUACAGCUUCGUCGUGGCCUAUUGCCAAAACUCGUCCCACACCUCCGGUGCCUGCUGCCUUAGGACAGUUUCUCUUGUAGUGGCCCACCUCGCCACAACCGUAGCAAGCCUGCCCUACACCCGCACCGGGAACUUGAGUGAUCGGCUUUGCGGGUUCCUUGCAGAAACGGGCUGUGUGCCCUUUCCUGCUGCAGUUGGCGCACUGCAUAUCUCGACAAGGUCCAUGGUGGUGGUAAUUGCAUUUGGUGCAUUUUGGGAGGUUGCCUAUAUAAGGCUUUGUUGGGUAGGUAUUUGUAGGGGCUGUAGCAGGUACAAUGGCAGCAUUUACUGACACCAGUUGUUUCUUUGCGGAUUCUUGGGAAGACCCACCCUUCCCUUUAAUCCACGCUCUCUUCCUGCCAUUGUUGUUGUUGUUGUUGUUGUUGUUGUUGUUGUUGUUUCCUUUCUGUGGUGCUGGUGCAGAAGUGGUUGAGUUCUGAUGACCUCCGUAGUCAAUCAGAGAUUGUGCCAGUUCCUUAGCACUUUCAAAGGUGUCAGGUUUAGAAGCUAACACGCUUGAUCGCAUUUGGGGCGUCAGUCCCCAGAUGUACCUUUCUAUUUUCUUGCUCUCGGGAGCAAUCAUAUCUGGACAAAGGAUUGCCAGCUCGCAGAAUCUGUUGGUAUAAGUAGCGAUGUCGGUACCAACCAUUCCGAGAGUCCAUAGCUCGUGUUCAAGCUUUUGAAUCUCUCCCCGUGGGCAGUAUUCUCUCAUCAUCAUGGCCUUCAGUCUCUCCCAGCUUAUGGAUUUUGCCACGAUUAGGGUAAGUACUUUAACGUGGCCAUUCCACCAAGUUAAAGCUUUAUCGAGAAGGGUNUGUGCUCGGGACAGGAGCAGAUUUCAAAGACUGCCUCCGUCCUUUCAAUCCACUGCCUCAGGGCCAUUACACCACCAGUUCCAUAAAACAUCCGGGGCUUGGCAUUAGUGAAGUCCUUAUAGGUGCAUUCUCGAGGUGGUCCAUGACUCUCGCCAUGGUUGGAUAGGUGUGUGCCAGAUCCCGAGCCAUUAGUACUCGAGUUAUUGAUCUGUGACAUGGUAGCUGCCACCGCUGCGGUGACUGCUGCUUGAAACAUAACAGCAUCAAAUUGAGGUGGUGGAGGUGGUGGUGGUACAGGUGCUUCCUCACCGUUGUUUCGCCUUGGAUUCCUACGUGGAGGCAUCCUUCAACUAUAGGUUGAAAAGACAAGGAUAAGAAUUUCAUAGAAUAGAAAAUGUAUGUGUCUCAUGAACUAAAUCGCUAUAGAUCAACAACAGAUGAUAGUAUGAGUCUUAAAAUAGAAGAAUGAAAGUUAUUUGUAAGACUGAAGGUAUGAAACAAGUAUUUGGCUUCCCAAAGACCAUUCAAGGUUUUGAUCGAAAUACUUAACAUAGUAGUAAUAGUGUCACUUAUAUUAUCAUAAAAGUUGUUACAACGAUCAUGAAAAUUUGACCCCUAUAAGGGNNNNNNNNNNNNNNNNNNNNNNNNNNNNNNNNNNNNNNNNNNNNNNNNNNNNNNNNNNNNNNNNNNNNNNNNNNNNNNNNNNNNNNNNNNNNNNNNNNNNGACGGCGGGUCGGACGGGUCGGACGCUUCGGACGGGUCGGACGCUCAGAGGCCAAGUCUCUCGGGUACGCAGGGCGUGGAUGAGGACGCUGACUCCUCUUCGGAGAAGGUCCGAUUUUUGAACUAAAUAAAUAUAUAAUUUAUUUAAUAAACUUCAAAAAUUCAUAUCUUCUUCAUAUGAACUCCGUUUUCGAUGGUCUUUAUAUCCACGCGUAGGUGAGACUACGCUCUACAACUUUCGUUUAGACUCCGUCGGCAAAUUCCGAA
rnacentral:lncRNA from 1 species